rnacentral:rRNA from 1 species
GUAUAUAUCCAUACAACCUCGAGAAUGCCCAAUCCCAUCUCACCUUGGAAGCAUAGCAGGGUUGGGUCUGGGUAGUCCUGGGAUGGGAGACCGCUGAAAAUGCCAGGUGAAAUAGUGG